rnacentral:misc_RNA from 1 species
CAAAUACUUCACACCCAUUUCUUGAAGUCGGGUUUUGAUUUUGAUGUCUUUGCCUUGACAGCUUUAGUUGAUAUGUAUGCUAAAUUGGGCAUUUUAGUCUUGGCAAGCCAAGUGUUUGAUGAAAUGACUCUGAGACAUACAGCCACUUGGAAUGCGUUAAUUGCAGGUUAUUCAAGGCAUGGGAAUAUGGAGGGAGCGCUAGAG